GAAGACUGUUUAUGGAGACCUGUCUUUUAGAUGCAGGAACACCACUGAGAGCUAUAUUUAUAUUUGUUGCUGAUGGGUAGUUGAGGCGGGGCUGUAGGAGGAAGGGAAGGAGACAAAGAGGCUAUUGGAAUAGGCAGGAAGAUGGAAGGGAAGUAGUUGAAGUAAUUUCCUCUAUCAAGCCCCACCAUGGGUAUGAAAAUUAAUAUCUGCCUAUAGAGAGGUAAAUUAGAGUCACCCAAUGUGGGGAAGGGGAAUGUCUCCAAUUAGGAGACUCUUAUAUGGUGUGCCAGCUUCCAGCUAGAUGCCCACUGCCUCUGGUAACUCUCUGAGUCUUUUCUCCACUCCCUUAUAUUUUUCAUGAAGACCUGGUAUGGAGAUAAGGGUAAGAUCCCCUUGAAGUAAUGUGAAAAAACUGUGAGAAGAGCGAAAAACCCUGCCAAUGGCAAGGAAGCUGCAAACUUGAAUCUUCUCAAACUAAAUAGACUCAGAGUUGCAUCUGGAAUUGUGUGUGUUUGGCAAACCUAAGGUGGAACCCCUCUGAAAAACAUCUGACUGGAAUCGCCUCUUUGUCAAAUGUGAAAAGAAGCUCCCACCCAAUUAUUAAGAGGCUGCAUGAGAGGAAAGGAAAAGUUUGUGCAGCUAACAUAACAUGAAGCUUGCCAAAAUCAUCCUGCCCUAAUUCUCUUGUUAACAGAGCUGCUUUUCCAAAGAGCAAGUAACUCGUGAUUGGGUUUCUUGAUUCUGCCUGCCACUCCUGCUGUACACCCCCACCCCACCCAGGACCCCCUGCCCAGAGCUUCCCUGGCUCUGCAUUUUCACUGGUGGGGUAUUCUUCAAGGCUUGAAACCCCAGAAAUCCCGUUGAGAGCACAAUGAUCUACACUCAGGAUGCAGUGUAGAACGGCCACAAAUGUCAUAUUGCUUAUCUUGGUCUAUGCAACACCCAGCAGCUGCUGGUGUUUAACGAGGAGGCUGCACAGGGCUCUGAGAAUUGUACUGUGUGUGCUUUGUUCAUGCAUUUUGCAGCUGAUUUAAGAGCAAGAAAGGAACAAAACCAACCCGAUGUCUUUACUCCAGAGAUCAUCCACAUCCUUCCUACGGCAGGAAGAGCAGGUGACUGGGACACUGGACAUUUGGCAAGCUGGUAGUUUUCCUGCAUUGGCAUGCUUUGCCGGGGUUUUCAUGAAAAGACAAUGACCUUUACAGAAAACAAUGACCUUUACAGAGAUCUCUAAACCUUGGCAACUCAGCAGCGAGCUCAGUUCUGAAAGCAUUCCUUUUGCCUUUCCCAACAGAGUUGAACAACUGGAAAGAAAGGAAGGAACUUAAAAAAAAAAAAUCACCGAAGUUUUUGGCAAACUUUAGGUGCUCUUUCCCCCACCCUGUAAUUAAGGCAUAAGUAAACAGUAAAAGAAUAUCAAAUUGCAGCUUGCUUCAGUAAUAGGUACCCAGGUGGAGCUGCUGCUUGUAUGGACCUGUGUCUUGAGACAGAAGGGCAGCCUCUCUGGGGAGGACUCCAAUGGGUCCCCAGAUCUGAUACAUCAAGAUUAAGACUUGAGGAUUCGGAGCUGAGUGAUAAGAAAGGAUUGUCUUCCCAUCUAUAAAGUGAAGAUUAUUAUUAUUAUUAUUAUCCACCCUCUGACGACACACUGUAUUGAAUAACGAUGAAAAAAUUGUUUAGCAAGAUAUACAUUAGUUUCUGAAGGAAGAAGACUUUCAAAUAUUCUCUAGCUACUACUUGAGUGGCCUAAAGGGAGAAUGUGGUACACAAGAGCAAGAAGAGACCUGAGUGCAUCUACUCACAACCUCUAUACCAGGGUCUUUUCUACUUACCCCCUCAUGACCUCUGGGACCUGUUUUGACUUGCUUCCCAUCCAAGGGGAGACAAAAAAGACUGAACAGAGUUGAAGGACAAAACCGAAAAGUACUUCCAGCAACUAUUCCUAGUUGUGAAGGGAUGAGUGGAUGGAAGAGAGAAUGUGUGUGAUGUGGAAAGGAGGGAAUCCAAGCAGGUGAAGUAGAAUCCCAGACUACAGGACAGCUCCUCUUGCUCCACCAUACCCUCUAACAUGAGGAAAGAAGAACUUUUCUUCAAGAACCUUCAUGGGUGCAAGCAAAGACAAGAGCCAGAGCAAAAGGCCUUCGACUGUUCAUCACCUGCAGCUUUAACUGCAAGCACUCCCAAACAGAGAACGUAAAUGGCUUACAUGUAUGAAUGAGUUAAGACAUGCAAAGUGCUUGGAACAACACUUCAACCGUAGCAAAUACUGUUGAUGCCUUACCUGUAUCUGUUGGGGCAAGGAGAGGAUGGAAAUGUUUUUCAUGAAGACAGGAAAUAUCUUUACUAUGCUUUGUGAACUAGAUGGAAUAAUCCUAAAAAGCAGGCCCAUUGGAGCAGGGAGAGAAGAUAUGUGGGCUGGAUUUUCAACUGAAUGAUUAAACAACAGUGCUCUCUCUGGCCAUAUCCUGCUAUUUUACACAAGGUGUUGGGGAGACUACCUGGCAAGAUAAAAUCAAUGUUGCCUUUUUAAAAAUGUGCUAUCAUUUCACUGUUAAAUUUAUGCAGGACCCAGUUCCAAGAGGCCAAAAAGAUAAUACAGGUAAUACUUAUUUUGCAGGAUUCCAAUAUGUGUGGAUUUCAGUCAUACAGUUUAGUUAGUGUAGUGAAACAAAAGCAGCUUCCUUCAACAACACAGUUAAAAUUUCAGUUAUCAUGGCAUGUGAACUGUGAGUAAGUACUGGCAUAGAGUAUGAGCUUUGCUGCUAACUUGUCAGUAUACAAAUCACUUCUUAAAUAUGUCAUCAUGAUUAGUUAUUUAUCAAUUAUGUCACUUCUUUCAAACACAAUUGGUGAUUGGUCACUGAUCAUCUAUUAUUCAGUUUACCCACCCACAGACAGCAAAUUACAUAGUUGUGUUGCCUCCUUGUCUUAGUGAUAACCCAUGUGAUAGUUUACAGGUAAUCAGUGGAAUGAACUGGCCAACAAAAAUGGAAGAGAAAAAAGAAAUGGAAAGUGAUAAUGUAGGAAGUAAAAUUCAAAUUGAAUGUAAAUAGGGUGUAGGAAAUAUAACUGAGCCUGCAAAGGUUGACUUCAGAGCCAUUUUAAAGAUUCGAGAUAAGCAACAAAAGGAACUUUGUGAACUUACCACUAUAAAUGAGGAAAAUUGCCAAAAAAUGAAGAUGUUCCAGAGGACCUGAUGCCAGAAAAAAAAAUUCACAUUAAAGGGACACAUAGAUAUUUCACAGCAUUGAAAAUAAAAAGCAUAAAAUGGUGAAGCUAACCCAAAUUUAGGAAGGAGACUGACAAUUUACCAAAGCAUGGAAAAGUCUCAGAGAGUUGAAGAAAUCAUGUGACCAGUUCUACUGAGAACCUAAGGGGCAGCAUCAGUUUCACCUAGGAACUAAGUAGAAACGCAAAUUCCCAGGACCCACCGCACACCUACUGAUUCAGACACUCUGGAGCUAAACCAAAAACAUACACAGAAUAGUCACAGCCAGUGUGUCUGGAGGCCUAAGAGAACUGCUCCCCACCCCCACCAUCUUCACUUGUAAUUUUAUUCUCUUGGGCAGAUCAGCUUUCCUCAGAGUCUUGAAUUCAUCAUUGGUAGAAGUAGAAAUGGAUGAACUGAGACAGGAGUCCCCUUGCUAAGGUAUAUUCAGGACCCAUGUUAUAGAAUCUGGAAGAGAAAGCUGUUUUGUAUAGACUGGGAAGAGUGGAGCUAGGAUGAUGGUUGCAGCAGAAGAUCCAGUAUUUUAGCCUCUUGAAAAAUCCCAAGAGAGGUAUCUAGAAAUCUUCCUUAAAUGCAGAGGACCCUUUGUUCUCAAGUCUGGAUUUUUUUGACCAGAGCCAGAUAAUCUCAAAAAGCAAAGAUUUACUGCCUGGAACUGAAAGUCACUGUUCAUUCAGCCAACAAAAUCUGGUCUCCAGCUAACGUUGAAGGCAACUGACUGAAAGGCCCUGUGAGAACAUGGUGAGAAGGCAGCCAUCUACAAGCCAGGAAGAAAGCCUUCACCAGAAACCAAACCCUGCUAGAACCUUGAUCUUGAACUUUCCAGCCUCUAGAACUGUGAGAGAUUAACCACCUUAGAAGAACUGUAGAGAUGCUGACAGUGUGAUGGUGAUACCAAAGCUGCAGAACAUUCUAGUGAUGAAGAGAAACUGGAGGAGAUUCCAAAUUGAAAAUCUGCAAUUCAUUGUUUUCAAAACAUAGUAUAACCAAAGGGGAAAGUACAUCUGGAUACAUUCUAGCCUUGGCAAUGCAAAGCCUACCACCAGGUGGAUAUGGUAAUCAGGCAGGAUGGAUGCAGAGGAUUUGAAUUACCAUACAAAGGAUUUGAGGCAGCAAGAACACUGGUUUUACAGAUUAAGAUCAUGACCUGGAAUGGUUGGCUUCUCCCUGCUUAUGGAAGUGACAGUUCUAGGGCCACUAGCUGAAUAUAGCUAUAAGCCAUUUAUUUCUGGGUCUCUGUCACAUCCCACACUGACCAGUUUUAACUGUAUUCAAAGAAUGAUUGUCACGGUCCUGACUAGA